AAACUUACCUGGCUGGGAGGCUUUCGCGAUCACGAAGGCGGAACCUUCAUGGCGAGGCUUGGUCAUUGCACUUUCGACCAGGCUGACCCGUGUGGCAGUCCCGAGUUGGGAUUGGCCAACAGCAUAAUUUUUGCGUUUGGGGACAGCGUCCGCGCUUCCCCGCC
rnacentral:snRNA from 9 species